CCCCCACUUCCGCCCCGCGGAACUACACCUCCCAGCGUGCCCUGCGCGGUUCCCAUGGCGAUGGGGAGCCGGGCCCGGGUCCUGAGGAGCGAUGCCCAAGGCCAGUGAUACUUUAUGGGAUCUUGCUAUAGCUGAAGUAGAGAAGAGAGAAAACCCCGAUGACGAUGGCAAGCAUGUGGGAGUUUGGGAAAAGUCAAUAUUAUUUAUGGGAAACAAAAAUGGGGGAAAGACCACUAUUAUACUGAGGUGUCUUGAGAGGGAAGAGAUUCCAAAGCCAACAUUAGCCUUGGAAUAUACUUUUGGAAGAAAGGCAAGGAGACACAAUACACCUAAAGAUGUAGCUCAUUUUUGGGAGCUAGGUGGUGGAACCUCGUUACUGGAACUGAUUCGAAUACCAAUCACUAGCAACAACAUAAGGUCAUUUGCAGUAGUUCUUGUAUUGGAUUUGUCCAAACCUAGCGAACUCUGGACUACUAUGGAGAAACUUCUGCAGGUCACCAGGAACCAUGUGAACAAAAUUUUAACCAAACUAGAAAAGACAAAUCCUGAAGUAGCUACUGAAAUUAAACAGAGGAUGCAGAACAAUCUGCAGAGGGAUCACCCAGAUUAUGAGUUAGUUGACCCUUUUCCAAUACCCUUGGUGAUAAUUGGAAGCAAAUACGACAUUUUUCAUGAAUUUGACUCUGAAAUGAGGAAAAUAAUAAGCAAGACACUUCGAUUUGUUUCGCAUUAUUAUGGAGCAUCAUUAGUGUUUACCAGUAAAUCUGAGGCUCUCCUGCUGAAAGCCCGUGUUCUUAUUAAUCACUUGGCAUUUGGUUAUGACAAAAGCAAGUCUGUAUCGGUGGAUCACAGCAAACCUCUAUUUAUACCAGCAGGCCUGGAUUCGCUAAGCCAAAUAGGACCACCACCUGCCUCUGAUAGUGAUAUUGGAAAGAUGCGUGCAAACACACCUCUGGAACUGUGGAAAAAAGUGUUUGAGAAAACAUUUCCUCCCAAGAGUUCCUGUGAUUUACAAGAUACCAAGGACCCUGCGCAGGAUUUACAAUAUGCUGAGUAUGAUGUUGAUGUUAUGAGAGCUCAGAAAAACCAGGUCUUAGCUAUCCUGUUAUGCCUUGUACUGCUAAACCUCAAAAUAGGUGCUUGGACCUUUUUCAUCUGGACAUUUGACUGCAGCGUCAUUAGUUGAAGCAAACGAUAAAGCUAACCUUGAGCCCAAAGAAUUGGAUAGCCUCCCAACCAGGAACUUGAACAAUACAAAAGAAAUGCCUCUAAAUCCUGGAAAGAAAUGGAUUUUGACUCUGAUGAACUGCUAUAGGUGUCUCCAGUUUAACAUUUACAAAUUACUUCAAUAAUUCUAACGUUACAUUAGCAAUUUAAUCUGAUGCACUAGAAAAUAUACAAUAUCAAACUAAAAAAUCAGUAUUAUUAAAGCAUUUCUGUUAUUGUAUUUAAUGAAGAGAGAUGUUUAUUCAUUCAGUCCAAAUUUAACUAUAGCUUGGUACAGACAGUUUUAAAAAGUGGAGAGGAAGGAAUUCUAGAUUGUUCAGAGAUAGAUUUGAGUACGAAAAUGGGCACUAGUCAGUUCUACCUAUUUUAUAACACAUUAUUUGGUUUAUUUUUGGAUGCUUCUGCCCUAAACUUAUCUAAACAACUUUUCACACCCAAAAUAUUAUUAGUAAGUGUGCUAGGCAUCUUUUCCUAGUUCUUUGCAUAUAUCACUCAAAAGCAAAGCCUAAGAAUAUAUUUGCAUCGUUGUGUGAUGUAUUUGAGUAGGAUAGGUCCACAAAAACUGGCAGAAUCAAGUUAGAACCGUAAAUUAAAACCAUGGUUGACCUGAAUUCAGAAGUUUGCUUUAUCUCUGUUUCAGUAUCAUAUAGUUUAAUACAGGAAUUAUUUCUUGCAAUGUAUAAUGUUGCAAUAACUUUGCCCAGAAUUUAGAAGACGGACAUUUCUGUCAAAUAUUCAAAUGCUAGGAAGUCAGUCUAAUCAAUUUGACAGGUACUUGGUUAGUGGUGGAAGUAUAAUUGACUCACAUUCAGCCUAAGCUGGUGAAAUGCUAGCCUGAACUAGAUACAGCUUUUCAUCCAUGGACGUGUCUCUUGAGAGCUAAGACUUGUUUAAGAGUAAAUAUCAGAACUGUCACCUGGCAGCCCAGGUCUUAAGGUUAAGUUCCCCGAUGAACCACCCUACAUGUGCAUAAAAAUGGGAAAGGCAAACUAACGUAGUGUCUUUCCAGCUCUUUAGAGUUAUUUGUUACUUUUAACAUUUGUUCACCAAAUGUUUUUCCUGAUACAACACUUGUACCUCAGAAUACUUUACAUAAAAGGUAGUAGAAAAAAUAUCUUGGCCUCACACGUAAGUGGAGAACGUGCAUUAACUCAAGGAUUUGAAAUUCUUUGUUACAAAGGGCAUAAUCUCAAAACCAUCAAAUUAAACUAAUUAUAUUUUUAUGGAAUUUUGAUACAAAUAUACUUCUCAAAAAAAAUCUCUAGCUAUCCCUCUGUAACAAAUAAUUUCUUUACUGAACAUGAAAAGUUAGUUAUAAAAUUUAGGAAUUCUGUGUCUGUUGCGCUUUCAAUUUUGAGAGGUACUUAUAGUUACUAAAUGGAUAAAUUAGACUCUUUGGAAUGUGAAUGAGCCUGUGAGAAUAAUUUCCAGAGAUGUGAACUGCAUUGCUUCCAAGAAGUGGCAAACAACUUUUAUAUUUUUUUUCCUAGUUAAAUUGACAUUUUAUUAACAGACAAAAAUUUAUUCUAGUAAUUCACAAACUGCUUUAGAACUUGAUAAUGGAAAGAAGGAACAGAUAUAAAUAACAUAACUGUCUUCUCUGAUUUGCCAUCAUUUACAAGAAACAAACAUGUUAGGUAACUUUUGUAUAGCUUGAAGAUCCUGUACUCCUUGGUUGUAUAGCAUGCAUAAGAUUAAAGUGGAGUGAUCUCUUGA